GUGAAUCAUCAAAUUUUUGAACGCAAAUUGCACUCUCUGGGAUUCCGGAGAGUAUUCCUGUUUGAGUGUCAGUUUAAAUAAAAAUCGGUGGUGUUGCUGCCUUUCGUGGUGACGCUCCGGAUUUGGUGCGUCUUGCUUUCUUAUAAGUGAGACAAAAUUUUGCAUGAUUUUUUUCGAACUUAUUGAAAUGUUUUUAUGUACGUUUGCGAUAUCGAGUACUAGGUUUUGUAAUCUUCAUGAUUCGUUCCUAU
rnacentral:misc_RNA from 1 species